ensembl:lncRNA
GCACAGGAGGAGAGUCUGAAAACACAUCUGAAACUCCUCUCAUCAAUGAGAGAAUGGCUCCUGAUCUCACACUUGUACUGAUUGGUGACCCAGCUUCCACUGAGAUCGGACCAAAGAACAUUUUACUUGACCAUGACGAGCAAACAAAUGUGGAACAGUUUUCAUCCAAUCUGUAUAAUCUGUGUGGUCGACACGUCUGUGUCAUUAACAUGCUGGGUCUACAAACAAAGGAAAUCCCUUUAAAUCAGGGAGUUCAUGCCUUUGUCUUACUAUUACCCAACACUCUGCAUAGCAGCCAGUACAGCUCAGGAGUGGAGUGGUUAGAGAGAACUUUUGGCAGAGGAGCACUUUCUUAUUUAAUCACAGUGGUGACUCAUGAACCAGGUGAAACAUGUGAAAGUGCAUUAAAAGAGCUGAAAACUAACACAGAGUUCAAUGAAAAAAGGUUCCACACAUGUAACAGAAGUAUGAUGGAUGAAAAUCAGGUAGCAAAUUUGUUAGAAAAAAUAAACAUCAUGGUCUCUGAAAAUGAUCCACAAAGCUACACUGGACUGGUGUGUGCUGAAAACAGACAACAGGAAGGACACCUGGAGGACAAAUCCCACGAAGAAGAAAGGAAAGACUCAGAUUUAAAGACAAAUAAAAGAGGAACCAAAGAUGAAGACGUGAGUGUAAAUGGAAAGAAGGAGUCACUGAAGGUUUCUGAAGUCAAAAAGAAGUCAUGUCAGAGACAAACUGAGAUGCUUUUUGGAAGACUUCGCCUUCAAGAUCAACUUCAAUAUACAUUUCCACCGGGAGAGUUUCUUCAAAUAUGUCCACCUGUGAAACAGCAUCAUGUCACAUCUGAGAAAGAUUUAGCUCACACUUUUCUU